AAGUCAUAGCCUCCAAAUAAAAAGUAGUGAUAUUAAUAAUAGUAUUUAAGUGCUUACUGUGUUGGGUAUUAUUACAAGUGCUUUAUAUGUAUUAACUUAUUCCACCUUUCUAACAAUCCUGUGAGGCAAGCACUAUCAUUAUCCCCAUUUUAUACAUAAGGCACAGCAGAUUAAGUAACUUGCCCAAGGUUAUAUAGCCGCUAGCUAGGAUUUAAACUCAGGGCAGUCUGUUCUAGAUUCCUCAUUCUUAACCACUUAUGCUAUACUGCCUCCCACAGUGAAAGUUGAAAAUAAGAUUACUCUGAAGCCAUAUAAUCACAAACAAACAAAAAACCAGGAACCUUGAAGAUGCAGAACAUACGAAAAUAUUACCUCUGUAUGACUCAUUUUCACUGUUGAAUAACAAACUUAAAGUGCAUUUACAUCUGAGAAGCAAAGGACAUCUCCCUGAAAAGAAGAUUCUGUUGUGAAAGCCUGGGUCUCAAAAUGAAGACAUAUGGAACAGAUCUGAACCCAAAACUGAAGUCUGGAGUCCAGACUAGUCUAACCAAGACCUAAACAACAGCUGAUCUGAAGAUCCAUGAGCAUGAAAUGUAACAGUAACAAGGUUUAAAGUUCAAAAGGUACCAAGAAUAUGUAGUGAAAAAGUCUCACUCAUUCCACUUUUGACUUGCCAUCAGAUCCCCUCUCCAAAGGUUCUCGCUCCGGUGGACAGGCCGGAAAAUUCAGUGAUGCAAUCAUAAGUUCACUGCAUCCUCGAACUCCUGAGCUCAAGUGAUCCUCUCGCCUCAGCCUCUUGAGUAGGUGGGACUACAGACGCUCACCACCACGCCCGCUAAUUAUUUUAAAAUGUUUUUGUAGGGACGAGGGUCUCCCUAUGUUUCGCAGGCUGGUCUUGAACUCCCGGGCUCAAGCGAUAUCCCCUGCCUUGGCCUCCCAAACCGUUAGGAACCCAAGGCGUUUGCCACCUCCCGGUCUGCUUUAGUAUUUUUCAGACUUCACGAUGCACAGUGUGUUCUUCACGGCUGGUGCACACAUGCUGCUUUUCUUCAGAAACACGGAAAAUGCCCCAUAAUACAAUCCCCAAGCAAUCUG